GAGUCAGGUGGUUACAAGUGCUGUGGACCGAAAUAACACAGGGAAAGGAGAUGGGGUGGAGCUUAUGGUUUGUUAAAGAAGGCUCCCUAAGUGGGUAACCUUUAACCAAUGACCUGAAGGAGGAAAGGAGCCAGCUGUGGGCUUCAUGGAACAAGAAGGGAUCCAGCAGGAGAGACAGCUUGGGAGGAUAGUGUGUGCCUAAUAAACACAGAAAGAGCAGGGAGGCCAGGUGGCCGAGAGAGGCAGGAGGGGGAGAGCAGCGGGAGAUGGGGUCAGAGGUGCUUGGUGGACAGCAAGGCAGGCGCCUUGCACCUGGAGGCCACCGCAAGAGCUUGGCCUUUGUUCCAAGUGAGAUAGAAGAAGAGUUAUGAGCGGACGUGGCCACGCCGGCUGUGGUUUACCCCCUUCGCUCUUGUGUUCUCUGUUACACAAGAAGGGAGAAAGGACAGGGUGGAUGCAGAGAGACAGGACGCACUGCAGUGAUCAAGGAGUCUGAGUCUACUGUGGUGGGAACGAGUUGAGAGGGGAUCCAGUCACAUUGUGGUCGCCAGAAGCAGAGGAGAUGCCUAAGGUAGAAGUCUCUCUCUCUAGAAGGGUGGGAAGGUGCCACCCACACUGAAGAUGUGCUUCCCUGCUAGUUAACCCAGUGUGGAAACAUCCUCAGACACACACACACACACACACGACUCUACCAAUCUGCUAGGCACUAUCAAGUUGUCAGUCAAGGGUAAUUAUCCAGAGCUGAAUGUGCUGGGUCAAACCUGUAAUCUCAGCAUAUGCGGAAGGGGGCAGGAGAAGCCAUCUUGGGCUACAGAGAGAGACCCUGUUGAUAAAGAACUGUUGCAGUCUAAGUUGACUUCUAGGUCUUGAUAUAAUUAGCAUGGGCUCCAAGGGAAGCAAGCAACCACCAUGGAAGGACUGGUGGAGCAUUCAAAGCCUUGUUCAGAGUGAGAAUGAACACUGGCCACAGGAGCAGCUGUCACAGAAGCCCGCCGGGAAGAUGUUGAGCGGUUUCAGGACAGCAGCAACUGGGGCUGAAACCCAAAAGUGAGACAAGGGAUGGAGGGUGGGAGUGGGAAGAGAGGUUGAUGACUGUAAAUAUAUGCAAAUAUCUUAAGUCAUUUUGCUGUAGUUUAAGGCAGGAAAGUGAUGGGGAGUGAGUGGUCGGAAGAAAAGGCAAGUUUAAACAGGGUUAGGUUAGAUCGGGGAAAAAUACAGUCUUUUUACUGAGUGAGGAUGACCAAUGGAAAGAAAGGUAGUGAAGUUAACCUUAGGGAUAAUGGGCUGCGCUGAGAUCUGGACCCUGCUUCUCCUCCAUUAAUUAAAAAUGCUCCAAACGAAUUUUUUCACUGUGAUGAGUAGAAAUAAAUGUUAACACGGUAUGGUAAAACACUUUAAUACAUAUGCAUAUUUCAUCUAUUUAUUCUACUUUCCCAGAGAUCUCAAAACAUAUCAUGGACACCCUUGCCUGUCCCACAGGCAGGGAAAGGGAGAGGUUAGUGUGGAAGCUGUGAGCCAUCCUAAAUAGAGGGUCUGACUGCUUGUUCAAGGUCAGGAGGAAGGGCAGGAGAUGGAACGUGGAUAAGUGAGUAAGCAGGCUCGGGAAUGGGAGCUGUGGUGGGGUGUAAAACGGCAUGGUUUCUACUACUUGUUUUUAUUUUCUCAGUAAAGUAGGAAACUCAGUCGUUAACUAAGAAAGGUUAUGUAGGAGGCUGGAAGAGAGAAGACUGUGUGAAACAGCCACCCAGAAAGGUGGAAGAGUGAAUGGCUAGGGAGGGUUCCACAUCCGGAAGCACUGAGAGAGCACCGGGAAAGCUGCCUCUCCAGCUGCACUCAGGGGCACUCUAAGAGCCGAGCAGAAGAGCUGGAUUCGAGCACUGAUGGAAUCUGAGGAGUCGGUGUGAUGCACAAAAGCUACAGGACAGUGAGGCUGUGUGCCAAACGACCAGGGCAAGCCACACUGAGUAAAGAUAGAAGCCAGGAGAUGACGGGACACUGAGAUGACGGGAGACAUGUUUACAAUGGUGGAAGUAAUGUGAAACUGAUAAGAGUUUAGGGUCUGGGUCCCUCGUCUUUCCAGACAUCAUCUAGUGGCUCUGGGUACCAGUGAACAACAGGUUUGUGUGGCUAUCAUCUUUAUAAAAGUCAUAAAUGUGAAGAUUAAGACCUCCCCCCUAGCUCCCCCACAGCACCUUUGCAGAACUGGAUGCAACUGAAGAAGUUAUGUGUACCCAGAAAUAUACACUGACUUCUAACUGAAUAAUUCUAGAAAAACAAAAAACAAAAAAGAUGUUUUUGUACCAAAUGUUUUGCACAACUGUUUCUUCCAGUGGGCUUCAUAAUUGAAGAAGCUUUGAGACCAACAGAACUUAGAUCUGCCUCCCCACAUUUAAGAACAGUCAAUAGACUACACUCUCAAGGAUGCCCAGGUUGCAGGUCACCUCCAACUGACCACCUCAAAUAUCUGUUACUGAACCUUAAAAACAAGGCUCUGCCCUCUCUGUCCUUCCUCACCCUUCUCUAUGUCCCCUGCUCCCAAACUAACUCUACUGCAUCCAGGGAACUUUCACUUUUCCUGCAAGCAUGCUCUAUAAAUUUCAACCAAAUUUUUGCUAUAGCAAUUCUGUAUACUAAUUAAUGUAAACCUAUUGAAUCUUAAACUGCUUUUAGAUGAUUAUUUAAAAAAAUGUGCCAGUCGCUAUAAUUGUUUUCCAAUGAUUCCAUUUGAGGUACUUAUUUUGAUCACUUUGGCCUUUACUCAGUCACUAAACCAAAGAAUCAUUAACUCAAAGUUUCAGGUAUAGGAGGUAAUUUAGCGAUCGCUUAGCCCCACGCUUUGUUUUAGUGCUUCGAAAGCUGAAGCAUGAAACAGAGAAGGAGAGCGUUUGUUAAGGAAGGCGCAGUCCAAUGUUACGGGUAAGGUGAAGAGAUCAAGAGGGCCAAGUCUCAGAUCUGGGAUAGGAAGCUUCUGACCACACAGUGCUGUAAAUCUUAACACACUCUGUCCCACCAGCAGACACUAAUGACUGUAAUAAAUUAAGGACAGUUCAGCUAAGCAAUAAACAAUUACGGCUGACACAGAGUAUAAACUUGAUGCCCUAAUUAAAGCACUGACCAAGAGAUCUUUGUUAGGCUAAGAAUGUUGGUUCUGAUUUACCCAUAAAAUAUAAAUAUGUAGCUUUGUAUGUAGGAGGACUGAAGCAUAUUUAAUAUUCAAGUAAUAGGUACAAAGAACAAAGUGUUAAAAAAAAAUAAAGAUUCAGAGUUGGGCGUGGUGGCCUUUAGUCUAAGCACUAGAAAGGCAGAGGCAGGCAGAUCUCUGCGGUCCAGGCCAGCCUGGUCUACAGGGUGAGCUCCAGGAUAAUCAGAGCUACAGAACAAAGACAAAAUCAAAAACAAAUCUCUGACUCCCCAAAAUACAGAUCCAGAACCAAACAAAACAAAAAAAUUCAUGGUGGUUCACACCUUUAAUCCCUUCACUCAGGAGACAGAGUCAGGCAGACCUCUGAGUUCCACACCAGCCUGGUCUAUAGACUUAAUGAGUUCCACGACAUCCAGGGCUAUCCAGAGAAACCAUGUCUCCUCAAAAAGCAAUUUUAAAAGAUUGAGAUUCAGAAUAGAACCAAGGUUUCUCACAUUCUCCUUAAGAGUGAUGAUACUUGGACUUGCUUCAUAGUAUCGUGAAGAUUAACAAGAUGAUGUUUAUAAAAAUUUUAAGCCACCUGCCUGUAUUUAAAAGUUACAGUUGGCUGGCAGGUAUGUCUGGCAGGUGUGUUCCAUUUUAUAAUGAGAUAUGAGUAUAGACCAAGGAGACUGACCUUCGGCAAACUUAUUCCAACAAGGCUCGUGUAUCCCAACCUGCUUGGGCCUGCCGUGUGUUCACCAUGGGAGACUCUAUAUUUAUUCUGAUAAGACUGCCAUUGCUUAAAACAUUUUCUGAAACGCUCUCCUGAGACAGCUUUGGUGCUGUGAUGGGACACAGGAGAACAACAACCUCCUUAUAGCUAAAGAAAUUAUGGAAGCCCAUAAAGGUCUUUUAAAAACAACGGAGAAGUUGCAUUGCUGCUCAAUGGUAGACUGUUUGCCUAGCCCGUACAGCCCUUGGAAUCCGUUCCCACAACAGCACCACUAAAAAAAAAAGAAAAAGAAAAAGAAAAAAGAAAGAAAGAAAGCCAGAAAAACUAGCCAUUUAUCAAGCAGCCAAGCACCCAGCAAAGACAGAGUUCUACAUAUCUAAAAGAAGCGGUUGCAUAAGAAGACAAAUGUCAGUUUAAAGUUUCUACAGAGUUAUUAUAAGACUCAUCAAAGGCAUUUUUAAGCACAUCUAUGCAUAUGGAAUUCUCCCGGAAGAUAGGAACUCUUUUAAUAUGAAAAGUGAAAUUCGUAGUGUUCACUUACUUGACAAGUCAUAUGUUGGCCAAUGAUUUUAGGAAGUAAUUUCUGUGUGGGAAUUAGACCAGCUAACGAAUUUUAUAUGCAUUGGUUCACUUAUCUUCACAACAACCUAAAGGUAUUGCAAAGUUAGACAGCAUUAUCAUCUUGCACCUACUUACAUUAAAAAAAAAAAUCAGGCUUGGAAGUUUAAGACUCACGUUGACAUAAUUAGUGAAGGAGUGUGAUGCGAGACCCAAUCCUUCCUAUUUCCAUCUCUGGCCUCUUUCAAAAUUAAAACAAAUAUUUCUAAAAUGCCUUACGAAGAACUCUCGAUCCCAGCAUGGUCUUCAUGAUGUUUUAAAAAUCUGUAUAUAAGUUGUUUGGUGUCUGUUGUAACUAUUCUCUUCUAACAUUAAAGACUUAAAAAGGUGUGUGUUGGGGGGAGAUAUGUAACCUAAUUUUCUCUUUGGUUUGGGGUAGAUCUAGUGGCUCGUUGAUGGGAGUAGUCUCUGACUGCAGUGCUGAAUGCCAUGACCUCCUCCAGUUUGUUCUGGUAGGUGACGUUGGCAUGUCAUGGGGACACUUGGGCUGUCCCAUUGAGAGCCAUACAUCCUGAGGACCCCAUGUCUCCUGCUUGCAGUCUUAAAAGAGUCUUUGCAUGGAAUCACUGUUUCUCGGCCCAGUCAAGUCUUUGACUUUCGGAGGAGAGACUCUGAUCCAGAGCCCCAGUGCUAAAGCACUCCCAGAUUCUUAGUGCUCAGAAACUGGGUAGAAAGAGAAAGGUUUGUUGUUUUAAGUCCAUACAUUUUCAGUGACUUUUUUUUUAAUUUAGCAACAAAUAAAUAAGAAGGCUCACUAACAAAGUGUCCUGCAGCCCACAAAGUUUGGUGGGAACUUAUAUAGUCUUCUCUCUUACCCAUGAAUUUUAUAUCCACAAAUUCCACCAACUACAAAUGGAAAAUGUUUCUUUAACUUUUGUAAUCAAUGUGUACAUUUUUUUUCUUGCCACUAUUCCCUAAGUGAUUCAAUUCAAUAAAACUUUUCAUGUGAA